AUUGAACGCUGGCGGCAUGCCUUACACAUGCAAGUCGAACGGCAGCACGGGAGCAAUCCUGGUGGCGAGUGGCGAACGGGUGAGUAAUAUAUCGGAACGUGCCCGGUCGUGGGGAUAACGUAGCGAAAGCUACGCUAAUACCGCAUACGAUCUACGGAUGAAAGCGGGGGAUCGCAAGACCUCGCGCGAUUGGAGCGGCCGAUAUCAGAUUAGGUAGUUGGUGAGGUAAAGGCUCACCAAGGCGACGAUCCAUAGCUGGUCUGAGAGGAUGAUCAGCCACACUGGGACUGAGACACGGCCCAGACUCCUACGGGAGGCAGCAGUGGGGAAUAUUGGACAAUGGGCGAAAGCCUGAUCCAGCAAUGCCGCGUGAGUGAUGAAGGCCUUAGGGUUGUAAAGCUCUUUUACCCGGGAUGAUAAUGACAGUACCGGGAGAAUAAGACUCCGGCUAACUCCGUGCCAGCAGCCGCGGUAA
rnacentral:rRNA from 1 species